rnacentral:rRNA from 1 species
ACGUAGGUGGCAAGCGUUAUCCGGAUUUAUUGGGCGUAAAGCGAGCGCAGGCGGUUUUUUAAGUCUGAUGUGAAAGCCUUCGGCUUAACCGAAGAAGUGCAUCGGAAACUGGGAAACUUGAGUGCAGAAGAGGACAGUGGAACUCCAUGUGUAGCGGUGAAAUGCGUAGAUAUAUGGAAGAACACCAGUGGCGAAGGCGGCUGUCUGGUCUGUAACUGACGCUGAGGCUCGAAAGCAUGGGUAGCGAACAG